GCCGCGGUAAUUCCAGCUCCAAUAGCGUAUAUUAAAGUUGUUGCAGUUAAAAAGCUCGUAGUUGAAACUUGGGCCUGGCUGGCAGGUCCGCCUCACCGCGUGUACUUGUCCGGCCGGGCCUUCCUUCUGGAGAACCUCAUGCUCUUCAUUGGGCGUGUUGGGGACCAGGACUUUUACUUUGAAAAAAUUAGAGUGUUCAAAGCAGGCCUUUGCUCGAAUACGUUAGCAUGGAAUAAUAGAAUAGGACGUGCGGUCCUAUUUUGUUGGUUUCUAGGACCGCCGUAAUGAUUAAUAGGGACAGUCGGGGGCAUCAGUAUUCAAUUGUCAGAGGUGAAAUUCUUGGAUUUAUUGAAGACUAACUACUGCGAAAGCAUUUGCCAAGGAUGUUUUCAUUAAUCAGUGAACGAAAGUUAGGGGAUCGAAGACGAUCAGAUACCGUCGUAGUCUUAACCGUAAACUAUGCCGACUAGGGAUCGGGCGAUGUUCUUUUUCUGACUCGCUCGGCACCUUACGAGAAAUCAAAGUUUUUGGGUUCUGGGGGGAGUAUGGUCGCAAGGCUGAAACUUAAAGAAAUUG
rnacentral:rRNA from 1 species